GGGUGAGUAACGCGUGGGUAACCUGCCUUAUACAGGGGGAUAACACUUAGAAAUAGGUGCUAAGACCGCAUAAGCGCCCAGGGCCGCAUGGCCCAGGGUGAAAAACUCCGGUGGUAUAAGAUGGGCCCGCGUCUGAUUAGCCAGUUGGCAGGGUAACGGCCUACCAAAGCGACGAUCAGUAGCCGGCCUGAGAGGGUGGACGGCCACAUUGGGACUGAGACACGGCCCAAACUCCUACGGGAGGCAGCAGUGGGGGAUAUUGCACAAUGGGGGAAACCCUGAUGCAGCGACGCCGCGUGAGUGAAGAAGUAUUUCGGUAUGUAAAGCUCUAUCAGCAGGGAAGAAAGAGACGGUACCUGAGUAAGAAGCCCCGGCUAACUACGUGCCAGCAGCCGCGGUAAUACGUAGGGGGCAAGCGUUAUCCGGAUUUACUGGGUGUAAAGGGAGCGUAGACGGCAAGGCAAGCCUAGAGUGAAAGGCGGGGGCCCAACCCCCGGACUGCUCUGGGAACUGUCUGGCUAGAGUGCAGGAGGGGUAAGUGGAAUUCCUAGUGUAGCGGUGAAAUGCGUAGAUAUUAGGAGGAACACCAGUGGCGAAGGCGACUUACUGGACUGUAACUGACGUUGAGGCUCGAAAGCGUGGGGAGCAAACAGGAUUAGAUACCCUGGUAGUCCACGCCGUAAACGAUG
rnacentral:rRNA from 1 species